AUUUGUUGUAACAAUGUAACAAGGGAGGUGUCCAUCAAAUUGGAUUGCAGCCAAAGAUGCUGUCAUGUGUUAUUUAGCCGUGUGGUCCAGUUGACAAAUGAGUAUGUCUGGAGAACGUAUGGUUUACUAUUUUCUGGUGAGCGUAUAUCUAUUCCUUUGAAGUAAUGAAAAGCAAUGCCAUAACACCUAUAAGAAUAUACUGCAAGAAGAACACCCGUAACCAGAAGUAUUAAUAAUUAAUAUUCAAGCUUCUGAUGAUCUAACUUUUCUGAAAUCAGUCCUCCAGAGAGGGAGAGAGCAAGAGAGACCAAACCUUGACAACAGGCUUUUCAGUCAUGAUUAUUGUCACCCAACCAACAUGAGGUAAAAAUC
rnacentral:lncRNA from 1 species